UUUUUAAUCUAGUACAUUUAUUUAUUAGUUCAAGAUAGAGUCUUCUCAUUAUAUAUUUAUAAUAUUAUAUUACAUUUUGGAUAUUUUAGUGGAUUAUUUUAUUUUUCUAUUAUGGAAGUAGUGAAGAAUUUGGUAUGUUAAUCAUCCAAAUUCACAAAAAUAGCAUGUGAUAUAAGAAACAUACCUUGUAUCCUAAUUUAAAGCAAACUAUUAUAAUUAUACAUGGAUACAUUGGUAUACAUAAGCAUUUACGAUUUUGAUAAAGAAUGAGCAAGAAGAUAUUUGCAAUGGAUAGUCUUCAGAUUACAAAUAAUACUGUAUGAUUUUCUUGUAUAACUAGAGUAAUAGCUCGUAAGAAAAAGUGUUCAAAAAUAUUUUAUUUUGCAUUUAAUGCAUAUUACAACCUGUCUAAUGUUUAUAUUAAUGCGUUAUUGCUUAAAUAUUAGUUACCUUCCAUAAAAGAUUUUUUGUUUUAUAAGUAAAUUAUUUUUGAGAAAACACCAUUUUUUAUCACUAUUUACAAAAACAGAAAAAGACUGCCUCCAUUCAUCUUUAACAUAUAAUCUUAUUCAUCAAAAUUGGCGAAGAAUGAAUCGUGUUCGUCAAAACAUCUAUGUUUAUUAUUGAAGUAAACCAAGAGUGGUGAACAGUCUUAACAUUUAUUUCAAAUUAAAAACAUUUGUUGAUUCAAUUUUCUUUUAAUUCUACUUUCGUGUAAGAAUUACGUCUUUGUAGGUACAAAUGUACGUAAUUCUUUUUUUAAUUCUGAUCUUAGAUAAGGAAUAUUAAUUAGGUUACAAAUAUUCUUUAUAUUCAUUCCAAAUUGAAAAAAUUUCAUCAUUUAUUCCAUAUAGAAAUGAUUUUCUUAAGAUUCUAAAUUUCAAGUUGAAAACAUGUUAUAAUCCUAAAUUAAAAAAAUUGAAACAAGAAAAUAUAGAUUUCGAUAUAUUGCAGGUAAUAUUGAUCCAAGUAUUAUCACGGAGUAAUUUCGAAGAUCGCUCUAUCUAAGCAAGAGCAAAGUACCAAAAUCGAGUUUGGGUCUUCCCAAUUGAAAGAAGGAGAGCUGCCCAAGAUCACUUUCAAGGGUCCAUAUCCUAGAAUUAUUAUAAUUGAACAUAUUUGGAAAAAAGCAAACAAUACCGAUUCCAUCCCUUGAUGAUCUAGUGUGGAAAAGAUGAGGAAAAAAAAAAAAAUCCGGAAGAUGUGAUGGAACGCAUACGAGGAAAAUCAUUGUCUUCUCAAGUCAAUUCACCAAUCUACUACAAUUUCAGCCUUCUUCACUUUCAAUCUACUUAGAUGUAAACAUAUCUCAUUACGAAUCUAUUUUGGAUCAAUCUAUUUUGAUUUCAAUCUAUAAUACAAACGAAUGUUUUGGAGCUACCAUAAAAUUUCUUAAGUAGUGAGUGAAUAAAUUUAAGUUCCUCUAUUACUCGUUAUGGCAAUGACGGGAAUUUCUUUGGCAUGUAAAAAGUAACUACUUUUUUAAUUUUUAUUUACAAUUUUUUCAAUAAAUUAUUGAUGAGCAUGACUAUUACUAAUUGCUUUUUUGGUUUUACUCAUGAAUAAUAUAUUUUUAUUGUUUUCACUGUUUUUUUUUUUACACGUCUAUUCAUAUUAGUUAAUUUGAACUAAUUGUUUCUUUUGAGUUGUUUAAUUAACAGUGCGAUUAAUUAAUGCUUAAUUUUUAUUUGUUUGUUCACGAUAUUAAUCAUGAAAUCGAGCCUCCAAAUAUCCGAUAUCGUUAAAAAAAGCAUGUUAUGUGAUUUACAUUCAAUGCUUCGUAUCUAGUUUACAUAUUUAAUCUCGAUUUACUUUGAUAUGUAGAUAUUGAUUAUGUAGAUAUGAGUUCAAAAAAGAAGUAGAAAACGCGAGCGAUCGUAGGAAUCAAGUGAUAGAUUAUAACCUUAUUCUUUUAUUAGUAUUUUGUGCUUGAUAAGUUCACAGAUGUGGAAUCUAAACACAAUUUGUUUUGUUAACUUAAAAAUUUAUUAUCGAGUUAUAAACUCUGGAUGAAUAAUAAAUGAUACAAUGGUACAAGUUACAAAUACAUUAAGUCCUGGAAAAUGA